CAAUACCUUUGUUUUUUAAUUUAUUUUAUGUGGUGCUAAGCAUUGAACCCAGUGCCUUUAUGUGCUAGGCAAAUACUCUACCACUGAGCUACAACCCCAGCCCUGAUAAUAAUAAGUGGUUCUUUUUAUGUUUAUAUAAAAUCAUAUAAUGUCAGUGCUCUUAGAAAUCAUCCAGAUAACAAAACCAGUUCAGAACAAUUAAGUGACUUUUACUCCUUCUUGUUAGAGUAUAAGCUCCUUGAAAAUAGGGAUUGUUUAUGGCUUUGACUUUGUGCUCUGUAUGAUACAGUGGUGGAUGCUCCUUUAAUAACACUUCAGACAUCCAAAAUGGACAAAUUUUUUAUAUCCAUUUUUUAACCAUUUUUUUAAAAUUUAUUUUUUAGUUUUAAGUGGACACAAUAUCUCUAUUUUAUUUUUAUGUGGUGCUGAGAAUCGAACCCAGUGCCUCACGCAUGCUAGGCGAGCGCACUACCAUUUGAGCCACAUCCCCAGCCCCUUUAACCAUUUUUUUUUUAUCUAAGAUAUUUAUUGGUAACAAAGUUUUGAGAGUCACACAGUGCUUAGAAUAUGCAUUAGUGAAAAAUGAAUUUCAGUCUUGUCAAGCUGUCAAUAAAAAUGAAGCCAAAAGAUUUUAGAAAUAUAUGAUUUCUAGAUUUUUACAUUCAGUACACUGUUAAGCAGACAUAAUUAAGAUGUUUUUAUAUUACUUAUAGCAUAUGUCAAUCAUAUUGAAAUGCUACUGUUUAUUAAAUUACCUUCCUUUGCCAUAACUUGUCUUUAGCCUUCAUUUCUUUGCUGUUACUUUAUCUCUGCCAGUGAACUUUAGUUCCUCUUUUGAGCACUUUAACCAUCAGAAGGAUUGUUAUUUCUUGAGUUUUAUUCUUUUGUAGAGUUCUUCCAAAGAAUACAGAGAACAUUUAUUUAUAUUUUUUUAAUAGGAAAAAACCUCAUUUUAUCUUGCAGUUACUCUGUAGGUCCACUGGAUCAUUUUAUAAACCUAAGAUGCAUUUGGAAAUAUUAGUGAUCUUAUUUCUUCUUUAUCUUGAAGUACUUUGUUUCAACCAGGAAAUUAUUUCAUCAUUACUCACCAAUUCUCAACUAUACUAAAAGGAAAAGGGCUAAAAUAAUAAAAAUGGAAGAAUGAUGGAACUGCCUUAGAGCAGAGGUUGUCAGACUUUUUUGUAAAGAAUCAGAUAGUAAGCAUUUUAGGUUUUACAGCCCCUGAAUUAUCUCAGUGGCUUAUGAUUCCACUUUAAACAACUCUUUAAAAAUUUAAGAACCACUCUUAGCUCCAAGGUCAUACACAAAAAUUGGUUGUGGGCCAGAUUUGGUCUGUGCAUCUUUAUUAUUCAUUUCAUUAACUAUAAUUUCAUAUUGCAUUGGUCAAAAGAUUAUGUUAACAUUAAAGAAAUGUAAAAGGAGACAAGGCCAUCAUUAUGGUCAGGUUUUAACUUUUAUUAAAUAGAAUAUGAAGUUAAUACUGUUUGUAUUUCAUUCACAAUGGCAAAGAGAAAAAACUGACAGAAUACAUUUUACAUUUAUUAGACAAAUUAGAAAACAAAUCCAAAGAGCUAAAUGUAGUCUAGACUAAUGAUGGUAAAGUUAUUCAUAUAUACAAAAUUUCAGAUUAUGAAUCUUCAGAGAAUGAUCUCAUCUGAAUUUACUCAAAUAAUUGAUUAUUGAACAAAGGACCAAAAGAAAAGAUGGGUACUUAGGCAUUUAAGAAGAAGAAAUUAUCAUGCAGUAUUUUCUAACAAUAUCUUGAACAUGUAUUAAAAGAUGUAUGUUGAUAUUCUUUCAUCUUGUAUAUUUGUGCUUUAAAUUUGACUGGAUAGGGUUUGUAAGUAGAAAAAUGCUAAAAGUGGGUGUAUAUACAAAGGUGAUUGAAAGGAAAUAAUGUUUAUAAACUAAAAAUAAGAGUAUUUUGUAAAUUAUGAUCAGAGAUUGGUCAUCCUUACUUGAACAAAUUAUGAGCCAUUACAGUUUUUAAAAUUUCAGACUUUUAAGUAUUUCAUUUUGACAAUGUAUAGGCCAUACAAUGAACAAGAUGUAACCAUAAGUUAGAACUUAUUAGAGGUCUAACUUAUAAGAUGGAUAUUUCAUGUUCAUUUCUGAUGGCCAAUGAGUACUAGUAUUUAGAAGACAUGCCCAUUUCACCUAUAUAAAUUAAAAAUAAGGAAAAAAAAAUGAAAUGGAUGUCUAGUUUUGCUGUAUUUAAAUACUUAAUAAAAUUCAAAUAAAGUUUUUUUCCAACAUGUAUUCUGAACAUUAUUUUUUUGUGGGGGAGGGGCAGUUGGGGAUUGAACCCAAGAGUCCUUGCUUUACCACUGAAUUAUACACCUACUCCCUUUCUAACCAUUCUUUGUUAAAAGGUUCCAUUAGACCCAAAUAGCAAAUGAUGAUGACUACUUUUCUUUGUAUACUGAGAUUAAAAAACUAGCUUUCUGUAAGAUUUCUUCUCUUGCAUUAUGUUUUGCAUUAGGCUCUUACAAGAAGGAGGGAUACCCUGAGAAACA
rnacentral:lncRNA from 1 species